GUGUCAGCAGCCGCGGUAAGACGAACCGUGCGAACGUUGUUCGGAAUCACUGGGCUUAAAGGGCGCGUAGGCGGCGAGUCAAGUCCGGGGUGAAAGCUUUCGGCUCAACCGGAAAAGGGCCUUGGAUACUGGCUUGCUCGAGGGGGAUAGGGGCAUGCGGAACUUCCGGUGGAGCGGUGAAAUGCGUAGAUAUCGGAAGGAACGCCGGUGGCGAAAGCGGCGUGCUGGAUCCCUCCUGACACUGAGGCGCGAAAGCCAGGGGAGCAAACGGGAUUAGAUACCCGGGUAGUCC
rnacentral:rRNA from 1 species